rnacentral:rRNA from 1 species
GUGGGGAAUCUUAGACAAUGGGGGAAACCCUGAUCUAGCCAUGCCGCGUGAUCGAUGAAGGCCUUAGGGUUGUAAAGAUCUUUCGCUGGGGAAGAUAAUGACUGUACCCAGUAAAGAAGCCCCGGCUAACUCCGUGCCAGCAGCCGCGGUAAUACGGAGGGGGCUAGCGUUAUUCGGAAUUACUGGGCGUAAAGCGCACGUAGGCGGACCAGAAAGUUGGGGGUGAAAUCCCGGGGCUCAACCUCGGAACUGCCUUCAAAACUCCUGGUCUUGAGUUCGAGAGAGGUGAGUGGAAUUCCGAGUGUAGAGGUGAAAUUCGUAGAUAUUCGGAGGAACACCAGUGGCGAAGGCGGCUCACUGGCUCGAUACUGACGCUGAGGUGCGAAAGCGUGGGGAGCAAACAGGAUUAGAUACCCUUGUAGUCC